GGCUCUUGAGAGCCUCUAGUUAUUAUUAUGACCCAAAGUGGAGGGGGCAUAAUGUUUAACACUUGUCAGAUCGUUUGUCCGUCUGUCCCAAAGUUGUUUUUUGUUCUCUUACAGUACUUUAGUUUGCCUCAACCAAAUUCAAUUAAACUUUUACAAAAGCUUGUUAUCACAAUUCUCAGAUCAAGUUUGAAUUUUGGUGAUGUCAGUGUUACUGUACUAGAGUAUCAGAGUUAUGCCCCUUUAGAAAUGGGGAAAAUAUGCUGAAUUUUUGGUUUCCUGUUCUCUAAAAUUUAGUUUGUCU
rnacentral:lncRNA from 1 species